rnacentral:rRNA from 1 species
CAGCCGCCACGGGAAUACGAAGGGUGCAAGCGUUACUCGGAAUUACUGGGCGUAAAGCGUGCGUAGGUGGUGGUUUAAGUCCGUUGUGAAAGCCCUGGGCUUAACCUGGGAAUUGCAGUGGAUACUGGGCAACUAGAGUAAGGUAGAGGAUAGUGGAAUUUCCGGUGUAGCAGUGAAAUGCGUAGAGAUCGGAAGGAACAUCUGUGGCGAAGGCGACUAUCUGGGCCAUUACUGACACUGAGGCACGAAAGCGUGGGGAGCAAACAGGAUUAGAUACCCGAGUAGUCCCUGUCUCUUAUAC